rnacentral:tRNA from 1 species
GGCGAGUUAGCUUAGUUGGUCACAGUGCCAUGCUAAUACUACAAAUGGCAUCAUGGGUUCGAUCCCCAUACUGGCCA